rnacentral:rRNA from 1 species
GUCUACGGCUGUGCCACCCUGAACAAGCCUGAUGUCUAAUCUCUGCUAAGCAGAGUUGGGCCUAGUUAUUUCUUGGAUGGGAGACCACCUAGGAUGACCAGAUACUGUAGGCA